AUGAAAACCACAGCGGAGAAGAGAAGAGAUCAGCCUAGGGCUAGUGACAGCCAUGGUCUGCCCAGCACAUACCGGUUACCAGGUUGAACAUAACAGUCCCCAACAGAGGACCCAACCCAUAGCCAAAAGCACCGUGGUGAUUGAUUAUGCUGCUUCUUGUGGUGUAAGCCACUAGGACCCAGCAUUCUGGGCAGGCAUCUGACUUCACACAGCAAGUCUUCAAGAUUUACCUGACACCAGAGUAUUCUGGUAGAACCCAGGGUACGUACAACAUGGUGUCAUGUCCACUGCAAACAGGAAAGGAUGGGCUCUUCUGUUCUCGUCUCAGGGCCUCCCUCCUGGUACUUCCUCCUGCACUGCUGCUGUGGCUAAGACUCAAGCACUGUACUGAGGAAGUCUUCUGUUCCUGGCUUCAGAGGAAAUGGUU